AAACAAAUAGGUUUGGUCCUAGCCUUUCUAUUAGCUCUUAGUAAGAUUACACAUGCAAGCAUCCCCGCCCCGGUGAGUCACCCUCUAAAUCACCACGAUCAAAAGGAACAAGUAUCAAGCACGCAGCAAUGCAGCUCAAAACGCUUAGCCUAGCCACACCCCCACGGGAGACAGCAGUGAUAAACCUUUAGCAAUAAACGAAAGUUUAACUAAGCUAUACUAACUCCAGGGUUGGUCAAUUUCGUGCCAGCCACCGCGGUCACACGAUUAACCCAAGUCAAUAGAAGCCGGCGUAAAGAGUGUUUUAGAUUAGUUCCUCAAUAAAGCUAAAAUUCACCUGAGUUGUAAAAAACUCCAGCUGAUACAAAAUAAACUACGACAGUGGCUUUAACGCAUCUGAACACACAAUAGCUAAGACCCAAACUGGGAUUAGAUACCCCACUAUGCUUAGCCCUAAACCUCAACAGUUAAAUUAACAAAACUGCUCGCCAGAACACUACGAGCCACAGCUUAAAACUCAAAGGACCUGGCGGUGUUUCAUAUCCCUCUAGAGGAGCCUGUUCUGUAAUCGAUAAACCCCGAU
rnacentral:ncRNA from 1 species